GGGGUUGACUGGUUUUGACAGCGAGUAGAAGAGGUUUGUAAGCAUGCAGUGCGUUGACAGUUAGCACUUUAAUCUCAAAUGUCGAACAAUUAACUGGCAAUAACAAUUAUGCUCUUGCUGCUUAAUCGAAGUAUAGUAGAUUGAAGCUUAAUCCCGGCACAGGUGUUGGGACAAGACAUCACCCGGAAGCUGUGGCUUCGAAGCGUUCCGAAUCGGUGGUGCAGAUAAAUCGGAGAUAGGGUGGGCGAGGCUUUGGCGCCUAUCUGAAACAAAAAAGCUAAGGAAAAAGUUGGUAGCUUCUGCCUUACUUUUUCUCGAAAAAUCAAGAGAAGAUAAGCAUGUAGAAAGCAAAUUGCUUCCUCGUUUGGACGAGGGUUCGAGUCCCUCCAACUCCAC
rnacentral:tmRNA from 1 species